AGAGAAUCCCUGGUUACAGAAGCAAGCUCACUCACGGUGGCAGCUGUUGAAGUGUGGGGGCCGCGGUCGACAUGUUCCAGGGCAUGGACAGCCACUCUGGCGGGUUGGGCUCCAGAUCCAUGAAGCCACCAGGAGGAGAAUCGAGUGAUCUUUUUGGAAGUCUAGAAGAACGCCUUCCUUCAACACGCAAACCAAAUAGGAUGGCAUCCAAUAUUUUUGGACCACCUGAAGAGCCUAAAAAUAUACCCAAGAGGACAAAUCCACCAGGGGGCAAAGGAAGUGGGAUUUUUGAUGAAUCAACUCCUGUAAAAACUCGCCAACGUCUGAAUCCACCCGGUGGGAAGACCAGUGACAUAUUUGGGUCCCCAAUUACUGCCACUGCACCUCUGGCACACCCAAACAAGCCCAAGGAUCAUGUUUUGCUAUGUGAAGGCGAAGACUCUAAAUCCGACCUGAACGCAGCAACAAACGCCACACCCAGGGGAGAGCAUGCAAAGAAACCGGAGCUAACACCUACAGUUGACAAUCAUGAGCCCAGACUGGGGCCAAGACCUCGCUCCCACAACAAAGUUCUGAACCCACCAGGAGGCAAAUCCAGCAUCUCCUUCUAUUGAGAGGUUCCUGCUCUGCCUGUAACUAGAUUGGACACUCAGAGACAGGGUAUUGAAUGUUAGUGUUUCCUUUAACCCGAAUGAGUUAGGGGUGGGAGAGGGUUUGUCAUGCACGUGGGAUUGGCUGCUCAUAGGCCUUGCUGUCAUUGGAAGAGCUGCCCAGAGGACUGUGCCUUCUAGACUGCCAAGAUAUAAAUCUUCGGUGAAAAA